UAAAGCAGCUCUGCUGUCACUCGGCGAGGACUGACGCUGCUCGGUUGUUCACGUACAGGUGAGCUGAGGUGCAACUUGGACUACAAAGUGCCAAAGCGUAGCGGAACGGCCUCGGUGGACUUCUUUCCGGAGUGGGAGGUCAAGUGGAUGCGGUCCAGCCUUCGAGGCUUGUUUUAAGUUGCCUGCGACGUGUAUUUGGACACAGGCAGCUAAAGCAAGUCUGGGAUGCGAGAGACACCCGUCAGCCUCGCGGAGAAGAAGGCGCCGUCCCGGACUCGCGAGGGGGUGGCGGUGGCGAUUCCUCUCCUCUCCCCCCCUGUGAGGUGUUGAAGGCCUUUUUAGAGCAUGUGGGAGUGGGAUGGAAAAUGGAAAAAAAUGAGAAAUGUUCAAUGUUGAUGCAGAAUGAAUGUGUUUGCUAAGUCACUAUCUUGAGCAAUGAUUAGCAGAGCACUCCGGGCUAGUCCUCUGAUUACUUGGAGAUGGACGAUUAUAGUUUUCUUCAAAGUAUGUUUUUAAACUAUUUGACUUGAUACCACGCAAGUGUGUUGCUGCCACACCAGGAAAAAAAAAACGUUCAAUGUUACGUUUCACCUUUCUGUGUGAUCGGUUGUCACGUUAAAACGUUUGGAGUUUCACGCUGUCAUCUGAUCAAUUUCACGUUUCACGAGAAGGUAACGAGUUUGGUGUUGCGUGUGAUACGUUUCACAUUGAAACAAGACCAUUUUCACACACAAAAAAAAACGUGAAAAUAUUUCCGUUUUAUAACGUUAAAAUGUGAUGUUAGAUUUGACUUCCGGUUCACGUGACUGGUCGAGUGACGCGUUACGCAAAAACGGAUGAUAGGCUGUCGCCUUUAAACGUAAUAUUCUCGUUUCUGCUCUUUUAGUAUUAUUUUCAGUUUUUUAAAAAUGAUGGAGUAUUUGUUCAGUGCAAGAUUUUUAAAAAAGUAUUCUGUAAUAAAGCAAACCACAGUUCUCAAA